GCACGUCAUUCUCUGUGAGGUGACACUCCUCGGUGUGAUGUCACAGUUGUUGCCACCUACACCCCUGUGGCGGCGGUGGGAGCGGUGGCCCAGUCUCUUGUGAGAGGCGCAGGAAGAGGACCCAGAGAGAGCAUUGUGUCUAUCUGGAGAUAUCCUGCUGUGAUGGAGCGGCUGAGAGCCCUUCGAGGUCUCUUUGCCUGUGUGGGCUGCGUGCCCAGAGGUACGCGUCGCAGGGAGAGAGGCAGGGUGGCAAGCCCUGUCCCCCCCUGUGCCGUGACUUUGCUGCUGCAGCGCCUGCAAGACCAGGAGGGAGACCGAGCGCAGGCGUACUGCGAGCUGGAGCACGUCCUGUGGGAAGGUGACAGCCGCCCGCCGUGCGGAGUGGUGAACCGGCUGCUGGCUGAGGUGUCCCAGGACCUGACAGCAGCCCAGGGCGUGCCGGACAGCGUGAG
ensembl:lncRNA